rnacentral:rRNA from 1 species
AAACCAACAGGGAUUGCCUCAGUAACGGCGAGUGAAGCGGCAAAAGCUCAAAUUUGAAAUCUAGUACCUUCGGUGCUCGAGUUGUAAUUUGAAGAUGGCGACUUUGGGAGUGGCCUUUAUCUAUGUUCCUUGGAACAGGACGUCACAGAGGGUGAGAAUCCCGUCUGAUGAGGUGAUCCACUCCUUUGUAAAGUGCUAUCGAAGAGUCGAGUUGUUUGGGAAUGCAGCUCUAAGUGGGUGGUAAAUUCCAUCUAAAGCUAAAUAUUGGCGAGAGACCGAUAGCGAACAAGUACAGUGAUGGAAAGAUGAAAAGAACUUUGAAAAGAGAGUGAAAAAGUACGUGAAAUUGUUGAAAGGGAAGGGUAUUAGAUCAGACUUGGCGUUGUGUGAUUAUCUUCCCCUUGUGGGUUGUGCACUCGUGCUUCGCUGGGCCAGCAUCGAUUCGUGUGGCAGGAUAAUAGCAUUGGAACGUGGCUGCGCUUCUGUGUAGUGUUAUAGCCUUUGUUGAUACUGCCUAUGUGGAUCGAGGACUG